GCGGGGGGAGCCCAGGUGGAUCAAGGCAGU
rnacentral:tRNA from 1 species